UUAGUAUUACUUCCAUACAGUGCUUUUUUGGUAAGAAAAAAGGUGCUGGAACUCAUGAAAUUAUUUACCUUUUGCACAUAGUCAAUCACUGUACUCACGCACACACAUCAGUUGUAUAACGAAACGUAACAGUCACCGUCCGCGGAAAGCACUCAGCGUGCGACCACACAACCAAUCACAAGCCGAGCAGUGCCACAAGCUGAGCAGCACCAUCACAACCAGCGCGGACGAAGUGCGCAUGCAUCGGA